rnacentral:rRNA from 1 species
UAACUCCGUGCCAGCAGCCGCGGUAAUACGGAGGGUGCGAGCGUUAAUCGGAAUUACUGGGCGUAAAGCGCAUGCAGGCGGUUUGUUAAGCAAGAUGUGAAAGCCCCGGGCUCAACCUGGGAACCGCAUUUUGAACUGGCAGGCUAGAGUCUUGUAGAGGGGGGUAGAAUUUCAGGUGUAGCGGUGAAAUGCGUAGAGAUCUGAAGGAAUACCGGUGGCGAAGGCGGCCCCCUGGACAAAGACUGACGCUCAGAUGCGAAAGCGUGGGGAGCAAACAGGAUUAGAUACCCUGGUAGUCCACGCUGUAAACGAUGUCUACUUGGAGGUUGCGGUCUUGAACUGUGGCUUUCGGAGCUAACGCGUUAAGUAGACCGCCUGGGGAGUACGUCCGCGAGGUUAA